GUCCUAGCCGUAAACGAUGAGCACUAGUCCGAGGGAACUUCCACAUUUUCUCGGACGUAGCGAAAGUGUUAAGUGCUCCGCCUGGGGAGUAUGGUCGCAAGGCUGAAACCCAAAGGAAUUGACGGGGGCUCACACAAGCGGUGGAGGAUGUGGCUUAAUUCGAGGCUACGCGAAGAACCUUAUCCUAGUCUUGACAUAGUUGAGAAUAUCUCUGAAAGGAGAUAGUGCCUUCGGGAGCUCUUCUACAGGUGCUGCAUGGCU
rnacentral:rRNA from 1 species